rnacentral:rRNA from 1 species
AACGAACGCUGGCGGCGUGCCUAACACAUGCAAGUCGAGCGCGAAAGUCUUCGGAUGAGUAGAGCGGCGCACGGGUGAGUAACACGUGGAUAAUCUGCCCCAAGGCCUGGAACAACCAAGGGAAACUUUGGCUCAUACCGGAUAAGACACCACGACGAGAGUCGUGUGGGAAAAGCAGGGGACCUCUUCGGAGGCCUUACACCAUAGGAUGAGUCCGCGGCCCAUCAGCUAGUUGGCGGGUGAAUGGCCCACAAAGGCUAAGGCGGGUAGCUGGUCUGAGAGGAUGGCCAGCCACACUGGAACUGAGACACGGUCCAGACUCCUACGGGAGGCAGCAGUGGGGAAUAUUGCGCAAUGGGGGAAACCCUGACGCAGCAACGCCGCGUGAGUGAUGAAGGUCUUCGGAUCGUAAAGCUCUGUCGGCAGGAACGAUGGAUCAGUUGGCUAAUAGCCAAAGGAUUUGACGGUACCUGCAAAGGAAGCACCGGCUAACUCUGUGCCAGCAGCCGCCGUAACAC